UAAUGACCCACAUGGGACAUGUACGUUUUUGAUUCUGGUCUAAUCUGAUCUGCAUAUAGCUUGUGAGUUAGAUAACCAUGGUGAAGUUUAUGUUGAUUGUUUCAGAUGUUUUUCUUGCCGUUAGAAAAAAAAACACUUGACUGCAUGGGUUUAGACUUGUGAGCUUUGAGUGGGGUUAAACAAGGUUUUGGGGUGGUCAAUGGAGAAAUGACUGACUUUGUUGCCCUCAGUACCUGUGUUGGUUUGUGACACAUUAUGCAUACUGUCCUCUAGGAUGCCGGCGAACUGUCUGUGUAUGAACUUCAGCGACUUGAACAUGAGAGAGAAGGUUUUUUUUGUCAUCUUUGAAGAUUUCACAAGCAUGUGGACAUGCAGCAGAGGAUCUCCGGACUCGGGAUGCAAGUGAGGCCAAAGCAAGAUAAUGAAGACCUUGAAUGCAGACAGGCCUAGGCAGACACUGCUGAGAAGACCAUGGGCAUCUACACAGUCCGGACAGAGGGUGAUGGUCUAGGUGAUGCAUGUUUUGAAGAUGUCUGUGUGGCACUGGACGGUGUGAGUUCUCCAGAGCCUGCGGAGUGUCGGCCAUGCAUGUGUUGGGCUUUAUGAACGAAUCUAUGCACCAACUUGAGCUAUCCAAAAAGACUGCGAAAUAUACAUACAUUUGAGGGUUACCAGAAAGUUCUGAUGGACCUGUACUCAAGCAAGCUUGAAAUAGCUCCUGUGAUUCAGUGGCAUACACGCCUGUUAGACUCUCACUUCGCUUCCGCUCACACUGCCGCAGUGGCAUUGGUUGUGACCCGUAGAUGGUCGACCAGGGGAAAAAAACUAUAAAACU